rnacentral:tRNA from 1 species
ACUAGCCAAAUGGUAAGGCAAUGGAUUUAGAUUCCAUCAUUUGCGGGUUCAAAUCCCGUGUGUGA